rnacentral:rRNA from 1 species
UGGAUAGUGGCGACGGGUGAGUAACACGUGGGCAAUCUGCCCUGCACUCUGGGACAAGCCCUGGAAACGGGGUCUAAUACCGGAUACUGAUCCGCCUGGGCAUCCAGGCGGUUCGAAAGCUCCGGCGGUGCAGGAUGAGCCCGCGGCCUAUCAGCUUGUUGGUGAGGUAGUGGCUCACCAAGGCGACGACGGGUAGCCGGCCUGAGAGGGCGACCGGCCACACUGGGACUGAGACACGGCCCAGACUCCUACGGGAGGCAGCAGUGGGGAAUAUUGCACAAUGGGCGAAAGCCUGAUGCAGCGACGCCGCGUGAGGGAUGACGGCCUUCGGGUUGUAAACCUCUUUCAGCAGGGAAGAAGCGAAAGUGACGGUACCUGCAGAAGAAGCGCCGGCUAACUACGUGCCAGCAGCCGCGGUAAUACGUAGGGCGCAAGCGUUGUCCGGAAUUAUUGGGCGUAAAGAGCUCGUAGGCGGCUUGUCACGUCGGUUGUGAAAGCCCGGGGCUUAACCCCGGGUCUGCAGUCGAUACGGGCAGGCUAGAGUUCGGUAGGGGAGAUCGGAAUUCCUGGUGUAGCGGUGAAAUGCGCAGAUAUCAGGAGGAACACCGGUGGCGAAGGCGGAUCUCUGGGCCGAUACUGACGCUGAGGAGCGAAAGCGUGGGGAGCGAACAGGAUUAGAUACCCUGGUAGUCCACGCCGUAAACGGUGGGCACUAGGUGUGGGCAACAUUCCACGUUGUCCGUGCCGCAGCUAACGCAUUAAGUGCCCCGACUGGGGAGUACGGCGCAGGCUAAAACUCAAAGGAAUUGACGGGGCCCG